AAUAACUUAGGUUCAGAAGCUAUGUAGCUAAUCAAGCUUCAACAUUAAGAACACCAAUAGAUGAAGAACCGUAAGAUAAAUCUCUAGAUCUAGCAAUCCUAGGUCAACAACUCAUGAGAUCCCCUUGUGAGAAACCCUAAACCCAACUAAAAGACUACUCACUAAUCUUCAUGGAAAUCCUUAAGCACAUGUUAAGAUCAAGGAUAAACAUGAUUUAGAAAGAUAAUCUAAAAUAAACAGAAGCAGAUCUGAUAAACUAAGAACUGAAACAAGUGUAGAGAGAAGUCUGCAAAGAUAGACAAAAGGACAAGAUAAAAGCAGAUGUUCCUAGGGUUUUCCCCUUUACACAUAUAUAUAGUCCUAAGAAAGUAAGUCAAAAGCCAAAGCUAAACGCCAAACGCUAUUUUUCGCGAUCUGAGGUGUGACCGCAUUUUGGAAACGCGCGUUUGCGUUAGGUCUUCAUCUUCUUUGUUUCUGCAUCUCGCGUAGAUUCCAUCUCCGCUGUACCAGCCUCGCCGUUCCUCGCUGUCGUCUCUUCUCUCGCCACCGGAGUCGUCACGAACCGUCUGCGUCUUCUUCUUCUUUGCGCUGCAACAGAGGAGACGUCGACGUCGAACCGAGCACGUGGAAUCGAGAGCGCCACAUCGAGAAGUCUGGAUCGAGCACAUUGCUCGCUUAGGGCUUUACGAUUCAUGGUCUUCGCGCUGGGCUUCGAGGGUUCUGGAUCGAGCAAUACAGAUCGAGUCUAUCGAUCGCUUGGAAUUCAUGAGCUGAGGCCUUAGCCGAGACGACCGGAUCGAACUCGACGAAGCAGAGCCAGCAACCACUUCGUCUUCCUCGUUUCUCAAAAGCCACUUUUCUUUAUUUGCACGUUUGGUCCCUUGCUUUUUAUUCCUCUUUGAUUUUGACCCCGUAACUUUCAAAUGUGCAGAUUAAACCUCUGUUUUUGCUCCAAAACUCCUAAUCCUGCACUCCAGCCCCUGUAACCUGAAUAAACUCUAAAGAACACAGAAAGACUCCAAAAUGACCAGAAUACAUAAUAAAAACCAAUCAAACUUAGCCAGAAAUCAAUAUAAAAACCGAUAAAUAUGAGACUCAUCAAAUCCCCCAGACUUGAAUCUUUGCUUCCUCAAGUAAAGGAAGCAAAAACUAAACCAAAGGGAAAAAAUGUUUGAAAAUAUGGGAACUAGCAUUUUCUCUAGACAACCGCCUUUACCAUUACCUGUUGUAAGCCACAUCAAAAAGUACCAUCCUUAAGAGAUACUUCCAUGUACUUGACCUUCAGCUUAGCAACCAUACCACUUUCAACCCACAGCUUGGAGUGACCCAAAUUCACCAUCACUGACUUCUUAUUAGGAACUGAAAUGUGCAGUCUCAUCGAGGGAGUAUCGAUCAAUAGAUACAUGGAGCCUUUUUCGUUCAGGUUUCACACUUCCGGUUUCUUUUCUCUCUCUUUUCUCACUUCCCUCAGUCGAUUUCGCCCAAUUUUAUAGGGUAUCAUUUUAUUUUUUCUAUCGACUGAGUUUAUUGGACAGGCAUCCAUGAGAUGCGAGUACUGAUGGGAUUCACCACCAGGUUCCCGAUUCACUUCUUUUUGACCUUUAUCCUCUGGUUUUUUUUUUUGAAGGGAAGAGAGAGGGAAACCGUACUCACAUUCUUUUCAGUACUGAACGAGGAUUCCGAUCCAAUGUAUACCAAGCCCCAAGACAAGAGAAUUAAAUAGAUUAGGUGAAGUCAGCUCUGGAUCCUUCAGAUAACCAAACAAGCAUGGGUGGCACUGGCAGAUCGAUCCACUUGGGCGUUUUCAUGUUGUAAAAUCUGCAGUGAGUGGCUAAAAGAAUGGUCACUAAGGCGUUAGUUAGACGGUUAGUUCUGAAGAAAAUAGUAGUUCCUGGAAAAAAAAAUAAAUAAAAAAUUUGACUCGAUAAAUUGGAACAAAAUAUAUAUAUUUUUAGAAGAAACACUCAUAAACACCAAAAAGAGAGAGUGUUAGUAACAUCCUCCCCCGGACUUACUUCACACCGUCUCGGUGUGAAAGCAAAUCCAAAGGAGGAGCGAGAAAGAAAAUAAAAAUCCUAAAAGAAGAGAGAAGAAAAAUCUUACCGGUGGUUGCCUCCCACCAAGCGCUUGUUUAUAGUCAUGAGCCUGACUUUUGGGGUUCGGUUUCAGUCCAGGUGAGCAUGAGAGCUUGCUCCAAAACAAGUCCCACCAUCAAACACUUUGAGCUUCAGCACCUUGCUCACAAAACCUUUCACAGUUUCCAUACCUUUCUCUUUCAUCUCGGGAGUGAGAACAGCUCUGACUUUCAAAAAAGGCUUUGAGGUUCCUUUGCAUUUCACCUCAUAAUCGAUUAUACCAUUAGAACAGCUGUGAGGUAUCAACAUCAGAUGAGGAUCGCCCUUGAUCCUUUUGCCUUUCAGCUUUUUCUUUGCUUUUGCAUCAGACUUCUUAUGCAUGGUGUGAUUGUCUUUAUUCAGAGCUUCUUUGACUUGACCUUUUUCCACGAGGUCAUCUUUAGAAAUAGGUACAUGAGUGCUCUGAUCAAGUACAGAGAUGCUAGAGGCCAGUCGUGUACACUUAUUUGUGGGCUCGGCUCUGUAGAAGACAUUCUCAUCGAUUUUCACAAAAGAGAUUCUCUUGUUAGGCAUAUUCGUAACUGCACCCACCGUGGCUAAGAACACUCUUCCAAGAAUCAACGGUCUAUUAGAACCAUUGCUCAUCUCCACUACCUGAAAAUCAGUAGGAACAACGCAGUUUCCCACUUGGACAACUAGGUCUUUAACGGUACCUUGCGGAGACUUGGUAGAGGAGUCUGAAAAUUCCACAGUUAGCUUUGGUGAUUCUAUUUUAAGGCCCAACCUCUCAGCGAUGUCUUUAGACAUGAGGCUAACUGUAGACCCAGUAUCACAGAGAGAAUCCAUGAACUUGACUCCUGAUAUUGAACACAGAACCACGAACUUCCCAAGGUCUUCUAACUUGGGGAGAGUCUUUAUCGGAGAUGAUGCAUUCAUGGUUUUGAUGAAUAAUUCCUUGAUCUCCUCCGCUGAUUCUCUGGUGUUUAUGAAAAACCGGUUCAGAUGGUACAAGCUCCAAGCAUCUUCAAAUGACAUGGUAGAAGGGAUCCUUUUCAUUAUUUUCUAGUGUCUUCUCGUUGAUAGGCUCUCUCAAAUGUUGUGGCACAACAAGGUACGGGAUUCUUGGUACAUACACUCGCUCAGAUGAAGUAGAAGCAUGACUUUUCACACUGCUCUCGGGCUCGACAGACUUAGGCAGGGGAUUGAUCGUUCCAUUCUCAACAAACUUCUUUUCAGUUUCAUCUUCAGAUUCUUCAGCCUCCUCAUCCUCUCUGGCCGAGACAGCAUUGCAAUGAGCUUUAGGAUUCACCUCUGGUUUGCCUGGUAGGGUACCCGGUGGUGCUCUACUCGCUGAUGAAGCUUGAGCAACUUGUGUCUCUAUAACUUUCAUGUGGGUGUUCAAAGCUUCGAAUUUCCCAUUCAAAUCUCCGUACAUGUUGUCGACCUUGCUGUUGAUUUCUGAAGUGCUUCUCUUCUGUUCUUCUAGCACCAUUUGUAACAUCUGCUUGAUUUCACUGUCUUGAGAGGACUGAGAGGUAGAUGCAUUUCCAUGAGCCUGGAAGUUUCCGUACUGCUGCUUCUGCUGAAAACCGUUGUUGCCAGAGUUGUUCCCUUGGAAUUGGUUUCUGUUCUGAUACCCUUGAUUGAAAACACUCUGAUUCUGCGCUAAGGGUCUGCUCUGGGAUUGACUCUGUUUGUUACCUUGUUGAGGGUAGAAUUGAUCUUGUGGAUUUUCCACAUUGUUGUUCCGGUAAGAUAGCAAAUGCUGCUGGUUCCUGAAAAUUUGAUUUAAGCCUUGGUUGUAAUUUCCUUGACCACCAAUGUAGUUAACAUCAGCUUGAAAUUUAUUUGAGUUGUCACCAGUGGACUCUAGCUGGAUCUGAUCACUCUAAUCUCCCACAAAAUGAACUGCUUUCUGAUCUCUCUUCAGCAACAUCUCAAUCUUGGCACUCAGCUCAUCGAUCUUCUGAGAAUCAGAGCUUGAAUUCAGUUGUCGCUUGUUGGUCGUGAGAAAGUGUCGAUCGAUACCAAUUAUGGAUUGUUGAUCGAUACACCUUUCAGCCUGUCGAUCGAUGUAACUACUAAGUUGUCGAUCAACGUUCCUUCCAGCAAGCUUUAACGCACAUGUUUGACUUGCUCACUAGGUUAAACUAAAUCAGUUGUCGCUUGUUUCUAGCAAUCCUAGCACAAUGUAAACUAGAUCAGACAAAGGACCAUGCUUCCGCUUGCACCCCAAUAUCUAUGGACAAGGUCCUAGUUAGCUACUAUAGAACACAUGUAUUAAAGAACAGGUCAAUUGAUUGAUAUCCUAACACUUAGCAAUUUUAUAUUUUAGGCUACUCACUCAUGAAUAUCGGAACCCUAAAUCUAACAAAGAGAACUACUCAGACUGAGCUAAGAAAUUUGAUAUCUCAGGUUUUAACCCGAAACAAUAACUGCAAGUGCACAGUAAAGUACGCAGUAGUAAUACGGGAUCGAAUCCACAAGGACCAAAGUUCACAAGAAGAGCUAAAGAUAAAUUACUAGCUAAGGCUGAGAAGAGAUUUUUGUUUGGUUUUGCAAUAACUAAGAACAGUAAAUAAAAGUAAGCUAGCUAGAUAAAUAGAGAAACGAAGAUGAAAGACUAUCAGAAAAAGCGCUGGGAAUAGGGUAUUCUCGGGAAAUCAUUUCGUUGCUGACAAACGGAUAAACGACUAGAGAAAGAAGUUAAGAAACGUCGUGAACUCAAACACGAUAAUAGAAUUAACCUACUGUCGUAGCGCUAACUCUCUAAGUUAUAGAAUCCUCCGCACUAACUGUCGUUGAGUUUCAGAUUCUAAACAAGCAGUAAGAUCAGGUUUUAUAUGUUCACUAAGCGGAAUAACAUCAACUGUCGUUGGCUAAGGACACUUUGGCUCAUCUAAAGUUGUUUCAAGCAUUUCAUCAAGCACCUGUCGGACGUGAAAUAACUUAGGUUCAGAAGCUAUGUAGCUAAUCAAGCUUCAACAUUAAGAACACCAAUAGAUGAAGAACCGUAAGAUAAAUCUCUAGAUCUAGCAAUCCUAGGUCAACAACUCAUGAGAUCCCCUUGUGAGAAACCCUAAACCCAACUAAAAGACUACUCACUAAUCUUCAUGGAAAUCCUUAAGCACAUGUUAAGAUCAAGGAUAAACAUGAUUUAGAAAGAUAAUCUAAAAUAAACAGAAGCAGAUCUGAUAAACUAAGAACUGAAACAAGUGUAGAGAGAAGUCUGCAAAGAUAGACAAAAGGACAAGAUAAAAGCAGAUGUUCCUAGGGUUUUCCCCUUUACACAUAUAUAUAGUCCUAAGAAAGUAAGUCAAAAGCCAAAGCUAAACGCCAAACGCUAUUUUUCGCGAUCUGAGGUGUGACCGCAUUUUGGAAACGCGCGUUUGCGUUAGGUCUUCAUCUUCUUUGUUUCUGCAUCUCGCGUAGAUUCCAUCUCCGCUGUACCAGCCUCGCCGUUCCUCGCUGUCGUCUCUUCUCUCGCCACCGGAGUCGUCACGAACCGUCUGCGUCUUCUUCUUCUUUGCGCUGCAACAGAGGAGACGUCGACGUCGAACCGAGCACGUGGAAUCGAGAGCGCCACAUCGAGAAGUCUGGAUCGAGCACAUUGCUCGCUUAGGGCUUUACGAUUCAUGGUCUUCGCGCUGGGCUUCGAGGGUUCUGGAUCGAGCAAUACAGAUCGAGUCUAUCGAUCGCUUGGAAUUCAUGAGCUGAGGCCUUAGCCGAGACGACCGGAUCGAACUCGACGAAGCAGAGCCAGCAACCACUUCGUCUUCCUCGUUUCUCAAAAGCCACUUUUCUUUAUUUGCACGUUUGGUCCCUUGCUUUUUAUUCCUCUUUGAUUUUGACCCCGUAACUUUCAAAUGUGCAGAUUAAACCUCUGUUUUUGCUCCAAAACUCCUAAUCCUGCACUCCAGCCC
rnacentral:lncRNA from 1 species